rnacentral:misc_RNA from 1 species
GAUGAAGAACGUAGCGAAAUGCGAUAAGUAAUGCGAAUUGCAGAAUUCAGUGAGUCAUCGAAUCUUUGAACGCACAUUGCGCCCUGUGGUAUUCCGCAGGGCAUGCCUGUUCGAGCGUCAUUUCAACCCUCAAGCUCUGCUUGGUGUUGGGCCCUGCCCGCUGCGGCCGGCCCUAAAGACAGUGGCGGUGCCGCCUGGCCCUGAGCGUAGUACAUCUCUCGCUCCAGUGCCCGGUGGUAGCCUGCCAGAACCCCAACUCUCGUGGUUGACCUCGGAUCAGGUAGGGAUACCCGCUGAACUUAAGCAUAUCAAUAAGCGAGGA